UACGUAGGGUGCGAGCGUUAAUCGGAAUUACUGGGCGUAAAGCGUGCGCAGGCGGUUCGUGAUGUCUGAUGUGAAAGCCCCGGGCUCAACCUGGGAAUUGCAUUGGAAACUAGCGGGCUGGAGUGUGGCAGAGGGGGGUGGAAUUCCACGUGUAGCAGUGAAAUGCGUAGAUAUGUGGAGGAACACCGAUGGCGAAGGCAGCCCCCUGGGUUAACACUGACGCUCAUGCACGAAAGCGUGGGGAGCAAACAGG
rnacentral:rRNA from 1 species